rnacentral:rRNA from 1 species
AUAAGCAUAUCAAUAAGCGGAGGAAAAGAAACCAACAGGGAUUGCCCUAGUAACGGCGAGUGAAGCGGCAAUAGCUCAAAUUUGAAAUCUGGCUCUUUUAGGGUCCGAGUUGUAAUUUGCAGAGGGCGCUUUGGCAUUGGCAGCGGUCCAAGUUCUUUGGAACAGGACGUCACAGAGGGUGAGAAUCCCGUACGUGGUCGCUAGCCUUUACCGUGUAAAGCCCCUUCGACGAGUCGAGUUGUUUGGGAAUGCAGCUCUAAAUGGGAGGUAAAUUUCUUCUAAAGCUAAAUACUGGCCAGAGACCGAUAGCGCACAAGUAGAGUGAUCGAAAGAUGAAAAGCACUUUGGAAAGAGAGUCAAAUAGCACGUGAAAUUGUUGAAAGGGAAGCGCUUGCAGCCAGACUUGCCUGUAGUUGCUUAUCCGGACUUUUGUCCGGUGCACUCUUCUGCGGGCAGGCCAGCAUCAGUUUGGGCGGUUGGAUAAAGGUCUCUGUCAUGUACCUCUCUUCGGGGAGGCCUUAUAGGGGAGACGACAUGCAACCAGCCUGGACUGAGGUCCGCGCAUCUGCUAGGAUGCUGGCGUAAUGGCUGUAAGCGGCCCGUCUUGAAACACGGACCAAGGAGUCUAACAUCUAUGCGAGUGUUUGGGUGUCAAGCCCAGACGCGUAAUGAAAGUGAACGGAGGUGGGAACCCUUUGGGUGCACCAUCGACCGAUCCUGAUGUCUUCGGAAGGAUUUGAGUAAGAGCAUGGCUGUUGGGACCCGAAAGAUGGUGAACUAUGCUUGAAUAGGGUGAAGCCAGAGGAAACUCUGGUGGAGGCUCGCAGCGGUUCUGACGUGCAAAUCGAUCGUCAAAUUUGGGCAUA